CCUGAGCACAUGCUAUUUACUUUAGAUUUUUCUUACGGUAUAAGAAGUGUUGGGUUAUUUUUUAAGAAAAAAACUGUUUGUGGUAUUAUAAACAUGGAAAGAGAAAACGUACUCACUUGGCAGAGCUUUUUGCUAUAAGCACACUAGAGCUUGAUGAAGAAGCCAGCCCUUUGAAGCCAAGUGGUAACUACAGGUGCUAUCUGCGUUAGCAAUCAGUAACUCUGCUUUUUGUGUAUAAGGGACACGUGUGGUUCUCUCAGUAUAAUGAAUCAUGUCCUUAAAGAGCAUCUAUUACUUUUAGUAUAUGCUAAUAACCAAUGCCCAUCAUGCUUGACUUGAUGAGCACACCUUAUGUGCAGUGUGUAUAAAAUUUGAAUGAAGACUGGUAAAAAGAAAUGCAAAUAAAGCUGUGAUAGGGUCUGGAAGGAGUCGGGAGUCGGGCAGUCGGUUUUGUGUUGGUGUGUUUGUCAGGAAUCUCAUUUCAGUUACCAUGAAGAUGUUUUCACACUUGAUUUACUUUGUAAGGAAUUUUGAUAUCUGUACUUUCAGUUCAGUUUGAAAAGAUAAUGCUGCAAUAAACUGUAUUACUGUUCAA